UACAGAGGUCCCAAGCGUUGUUCGGAUUCACUGGGCGUAAAGCGUGCGCAGGCGGUUUUGUAAGCCAGAUGUGAAAUCCCCGGGCUUAACCUGGGAAUGGCAUUUGGGACUGCAAGGCUUGAGUGCGGCAGAGGAGACUGGAAUUCCUGGUGUAGCAGUGAAAUGCGUAGAUAUCAGGAGGAAUACCGAUGGCGAAGGCAGGUCUCUGGGCUGACACUGACGCUCAUGCACGAAAGCGUGGGGAGCAGACAGG
rnacentral:rRNA from 1 species